rnacentral:rRNA from 1 species
AUGCUCGAGGCUCUAGUGCUGCAGGUCAUGCCCGAGCUACGAGAGUUAUGUCUUAGCCCUAGUUCGCCUCUCUCUAUAGAGCAUUUGGAGGUGGUCUCACCGGCGUCCUCGUGUGAGGGGCAUGUGCUGCCAAGGCCAUGUGAGCAACUGGAGGUGGCUGAGUCCAUCGUGUUGUCGGUUCCUGUGGUCGAUGAAGUUGUGUCAGUGAUUCCUUUGGUUGAGGAUGUCGAUGUGGUCAGUGUGUUGAUGCCUGCUCCUGGCGGUGUCUUGGUUGAUGAUAGCAACACCAAGAAAUUCAACGAGUUUUACGAUUUUCUUGACAAAUGGGUGGCUCAUCGGCCGGCAUCUGGCUGGCCCUCUAAAGAAGAAGCCAAUUAA